UACGUAGGGUGCAAGCGUUAAUCGGAAUUACUGGGCGUAAAGCGUGCGCAGGCGGUUCGCUAAGACAGAUGUGAAAUCCCCGGGCUUAACCUGGGAACUGCAUUUGUGACUGGCGGGCUAGAGUAUGGCAGAGGGGGUAGAAUUCCACGUGUAGCAGUGAAAUGCGUAGAGAUGUGGAGGAAUACCGAUGGCGAAGGCAGCCCCUGGGUCGACACUGACGCUCAUGCACGAAAGCGUGGGAGCAAACAGG
rnacentral:rRNA from 1 species